AGGGGUAUAGCUCAGAUGGUAGAGCGAUAGUCUCCAAAACUAUGCGCCGUGGGUUCAAGUCCUACUACCCCUGCCA
rnacentral:tRNA from 1 species